rnacentral:rRNA from 1 species
UACGUAGGGGGCUAGCGUUGUCCGGAUUUAUUGGGCGUAAAGAGCGUGUAGGCGGCCAGGUAGGUCUGGUGUGAAAACUCGAGGCUUAACCUCGAGAUGUCAUCGGAAACCAUCUGGCUAGAGUCCGGAAGAGGAGAGUGGAAUUCCUGGUGUAGCGGUGAAAUGCGCAGAUAUCAGGAAGAACACCCGUGGCUAAGGCGGCUCUCUAGUACGGUACUGACGCUGAGACGCGAAAAGCGUGGGGGAGCGAACAGGG